CAUGUAGGCGGACUAUUAAGUCUGGUGUGAAAGCCCGGGGCUCAACCCCGGAAGUGCAUUGGAUACUGGUAGUCUUGAGUAUGGGAGAGGAAAGUGGAAUUCCGAGUGUAGGAGUGAAAUCCGUAGAUAUUCGGAGGAACACCAGUGGCGAAGGCGGCUUUCUGGACCAAUACUGACGCUGAGAUGCGAAAGCGUGGGGAGCGAACAGGAUUAGAUACCCUGGUAGUCC
rnacentral:rRNA from 1 species